AGCGAACGCUGGCGGCAUGCCUAACACAUGCAAGUCGCACGGGGGGGCUUCGGCCUCCCAGUGGCGGACGGGUGAGGAACGCGUAGGGACCUGUCGAGGGGUGGGGGAUAACCGCGGGAAACUGCGGCUAAUACCGCAUGACGCCGCGGCGUGACAGCCGGGGCCAAAGGCGAAAGCCGCCCGCCGAGGGGCAUGCGUCCGAUUAGCUGGUUGGCGGGGUAGCGGCCCACCAAGGCGUCGAUCGGUAGCUGGUCUGAGAGGGUGAUCAGCCACACCGGGACUGAGACACGGCCCGGACUCCUACGGGAGGCAGCAGUGGGGAAUAUUGGACGAUGGGCGCAAGCCUGAUCCAGCAAUGCCGCGUGGGUGAAGAAGGUCUUCGGAUUGUAAAGCCCUUUCGGCGGGGACGAUGGUGACGGUACCCGCAGAAGAAGCCCCGGCUAACUUCGUG
rnacentral:rRNA from 1 species